CGCCCGGUAGCUCAGUGGUUAGAGCGCUGGCUUCGCCAGCCAGAUGACCAGGGUUCGAUUCCCCGGCCGGGUGG
rnacentral:tRNA from 1 species